rnacentral:rRNA from 1 species
CCUACGGGAGGCAGCAGUGGGGAAUAUUGGACAAUGGGCGCAAGCCUGAUCCAGCCAUGCCGCGUGGGUGAAGAAGGCCUUAGGGUUGUAAACCCCUUUCAGCGGGGAAGAUAAUGACGGUACCCGCAGAAGAAGUCCCGGCUAACUCCGUGCCAGCAGCCGCGGUAAU